GUGAAAAAGGCAAACUGUCAGAAAUGGCAGGACGCAAAAUCAUGGGCCUAAGGCUUCCCGAAUGGGAGACGCUAUGGUCGCCAGACUGC
rnacentral:ncRNA from 1 species